rnacentral:rRNA from 1 species
CGGUCACGUUCGUUGCUUUCAGAAUCUAGAUGCAUGAGUUAAACAAAACACAAAGACACGCGCUGUACAAAAAAGUGACAGGGGUCAAUGAGAGCUAACAAACAUGCGUUAAAUUUAGAUUCUUAGUGAAACGCAAUUAAGCAGACAGAUCACUCCACGAACUAAGAACGGCCAUGCACCACCUAUCACAUAAUCAUGAAAGGACUAGCAUAUUUAACAUGUUGUUCUCUCAAUACACACGUCACAGAGACGGUGAUUAAAAAAAAACAACAAUAAUACCUGUCAAUCCUCAGUGUGUCCGGACCCGGUAAGAUUUCCCGCGUUGGGUCAAAUUAAGCCACAUGCUCCAC